rnacentral:rRNA from 1 species
UACGAAGGGGGCUAGCGUUGCCCGGAAUCACUGGGCGUAAAGCGCACGUAGGCGGCUUUCUAAGUCAGGGGUGAAAUCCUGGAGCUCAACUCCAGAACUGCCUUUGAUACUGGAGAGCUUGAGUCCGGAAGAGGUGAGUGGAACUCCGAGUGUAGAGGUGAAAUUCGUAGAUAUUCGGAAGAACACCAGUGGCGAAGGCGGCUCACUGGUCCGGUACUGACGCUGAGGUGCGAAAGCGUGGGGAGCAAACAGG